rnacentral:misc_RNA from 1 species
GAAAUGAGAUAAGUAAUGUGAAUUGCAGAAUUCAGUGAAUCAUCGAAUCUUUGAACGCGCAUUGCGCCCGCCAGCACUCUGGCGGGCAUGCCUGUUCGAGCGUCAUUUCAACCCUCAGAACCCCUUGCGGGAUCUGGCGUUGGGGAUUGGCAUCCAGCCAGCCCCGAAAUCUAGUGGCGGUCCCUCCGCGACCUCCCCUGUGCAGUAGCGAUACCUCGCAGCGGGACAGCGGUCUGACCACGCCGUAAAACCCCCAACUUCUCAAGGUUGACCUCGAAUCAGGUAGGAAUACCCGCUGAACUUAAGC